rnacentral:lncRNA from 1 species
AUAUAGGUUUAUGUGGUUUAACUUUUGAAAAAGUGAUUCUAUUUAUGUAAUUUUGGUUCAAAAAAUUAUUUUUAAUUAAUAACUCUAGAGUGUUUUGUUCAGCCAAGAGAAAAAAAAAUAUUUUUGAGAUUGGAAAGUUUUCUGAAGUAAAUUUAUAAAUUUUAGAUUUUAAAUUUUAAAUUUUAAAAUUAACUUUUAACUUUAAAUUUUUAUUUUAA